rnacentral:lncRNA from 1 species
CAUGGUGCUGCUGGCUGGGACUCGGCCGCAGGGUGGCGGGGCGCGCUGCAUGAUCCCGCCACCGCCAUCCCCACUCCUAGGCGCACAGGUCGAGGAGGACCGCACUGAAUUCAAAGAGUUCCAGGACUUCUCCAGUCUGCCCGACACUCGCAGCGUCGCCUCUGACGACUCUUUGUACCCUUUCCAGGACGAGGAGGAGCACGGCGUCGAGGGCGUGGAGAGCGUACCGGAGGAGGGCGUCCUGGAGGCGCGGGGCAGAGGCGGACGCUGGUGCGGUGUGGGGUGAGCUUUAAGAAGGCGCGGGAGACUGACCACAAUGGCUGGACUGGCCUUAAUGUCGCCUGAUACCACGACUUUGUGGAUAUACCGUGGUGGCCUUAGCUGAGUACCCCCACAUUGAUGUCAACUGGCAGGACAGGGAGGGGAACGCAGCCCUAAUCAUAGCUGCACAGGCUGUUCUGGCCCAGUCAGGGCACGCUAUCAUCACCAACUACUUGUUGAACUAUGUCCUGGGUCUUGACCUUGAAGGAGGGAUGCGUUUGGGUUGAAAGCCGCCAUGCAGGGUCGAACCGAUCACAUCGGAGCCCUGAGCUAGUAGGGGCGGGUGUCCACACGAGGGUCCCUGCCGUGGGAUGUCGCCAGAGGAGUGGCCACUUACACGUCCGCCUCAUGCAGAGGCUCCUGGAGCGCCCCUGCCGGGAGCGGUUGGGGGAAAAGUACCAGCUUGAGCUGCCUCCGCUCCACGAGAGGGCGCAGAAGCCCGAGGGCUCCAAAAACUGCCUGCCUGCAGAGGGUCAGGAACUGCGAGCUGUCCGCGCUGACGCCGGGCGCCGUGCGUGGCCCAGAGGACCGGGGCGCCCUGGACCACAUAGUCAGGAUGACCACGAGCCUCUAACAGCCCCGCCGUGGCCUUCGCGUGCCAGACCGUGUGCCCCGAGAGGACCCUGUGCGUGGGGAAGAGGCGGCUGGCGGUGCAGGAAAUCCUGGCGACUCAGGAAAUUCUGGCGGCGCGGCGUGGGGUCGGUGGGGGCGGCAGGCGCAGGUGGCGGGCGAAACGGAGGGCGCAGAGCAGCACAAGCGGCCUGGCCUAGAGGCGGCGGGCUCCCGUGAGGAAUCCCCAAGAGCCGGCCUCCCACCUGCCCCGCUGCCGGGGUCCUGGGGCUCUGCCGACCCCUCCCUGCGGAAGGCCAGCCUCCUGCCCCUGCAGCGCCUGCGGCGGAGCAGCUUGUGGCCAGGCAUGGUGGUGCCCCGGGUCCGCCUCAGCAAGGCACCCGCGCCCACCUUCCAGCCCAAGAGGGCAGCGCGGAAGGGCAGCACCAAGGACAGCGGCCACCUGCAGAUACCCAAGUGGCAUAACAAGGUGGCCAAGGAGGAGAAACCCGAGGCGGAGGAGGCCGAGAAGAAGCGCCAGGCCAAGGUGCAGGAGAAGCGCCCGCUGCCCUGGAAGAAGAGGACGUGA